CAAAUACAAAUACUGGGUCCUCUGCACAUCCCUACUAAGCAGUAUAGCUUUUAAAGUGGCUUUAAACUGACUUUACACCGUCGCUAAUGAGCCAAUCAUUUGUUUGGUUUACUGACUCAUCGUUUGCAUUCCUCAAGGUCAGUCAGACAGGUGAAGGUCAACUGAUUCACUGUCAUUCUUUUACAAAGCCUGUCAUCUAGAGAGCGUUAGAGUAGAUAUUACUGCUAAUGAGAUGACAGCUGACGGUGUUAAGACCUCCUCUGCCCGCCUAUAUCUAUAGGCACUGGAGGGAAAAACCGGCGAGGAAUCACAUCUCGGUGUUGAGAAGGUAAAUGUCAGCCUUUUGCAUAUGAAGAUUUUAAUAUGAAUGAACAUGGUUUGUGGACUAUUCCCUGGGAAUAGGAAAUAGAGCAAGGAAAAACAAAUGUCAAGCUUUCCGAGAUGUUCAGAAUUCAGGAAAGAACGCCUAUCUGUUUCCAACAGGUUGGAGCAGUCUGGCAAGAGAAGCCUCAUCUUCCUGUAUAAUGCCAUUAAAUUUCCCCACAGAUUGAAUAGAAGGCCUUGUUCUUGAACACAGAAUGUUUUGGAUGGCGGUUCCAUUAAGAGAGAGGAAGAAUUAGUAUGUCCAGAUGGUUGAGCCGUUUAUUCUUGGCUGAAGAUGGGAACAUGCUAACACCAACAUCCUGUCUGGGAACCAUUAAGACGACAUUAAGAGAGCACGACCCUCUAAAAGCUCAUCAAAUGGGUUGUUGUUAUAUCAUCUACUGGGAAAUUAACACAAGAUGACUUUGCAGAACUCACUGGUUUGUCCUCAUCCUCAAAUUCUGAUGUAAAAAUGGUAAAUGGACUGUACUUGUAUAGCACCUUUCUAGUCUUCCGACCACUCAAAGCGCUUUUACACUAUAAAUCACAUUCACACAUUCAUACACUGAUGGUUCAGCCGUCAGGAGCAAUUUGCGGUUAAGUAUCUUGCCCAAGGUCACAUCGAGAUGUGGACAUACGGACUGGAGGAGCCGGGAAUCGAACCGCCGAUCUUCCGAUUAGUGGACGACCCGCUCUACCUCCUGAGCCACAGCCACCCCACCUAAAAGUGAAACGUUUGUCCAAGUAACUUAUUACUGUUUGUAUUUCUAAACAUGUGAAUGAUUUUAAGUUAGAAAGAGAGAUUAUAUUAAAGCUGAUAGCACCUUUUUCCUUUACUAAAGUACCAGAGCUAGCUAGUUGUAUCCCACAAGAUCACCUAAAUUGAAUGCAGCCAUUAUAAUGAUAUUAAUUGCACCUGUGCUUUUCAACACGUCUGCAGUGAAAAGUGUCGACGUCAGUGUGAACCUGGUGGCUUGAACAGGUGUUACUAAUAACGUUAACGACGCCUUUGUUGUAUUUAAAACGUUCCAGUAAGCCACGACAGUGUGAGCCAGUUUACACAAAGCCAGAAACUAAAGCAGCUGAAUGGAAUUCAGCCAUCUUUAAUUUGAUUAUUUACACCUGUGCUUCUCCUACAGGGUCAGCGCCAUGGAGAAAGGUUUAGUGGUGGAACGGAUGGAGGUGCACAGAUGAAAUAAAACAAAAGCAGUAAAGUUGAAUGUGGGUCCAGUAUAUUGCAGAUGCAAGCUCAGGCCAUUUUGUUAGUGCCUGUAGCUCUCUCAAGAGGCUGACUUGCCUACUGUGUUUGAGCUUUUCAGCAGAGAUACUUUUCAUCUUCCUGUUCUUUUUUUUUUUUUUUUUUGACACUCAUACACACUGCGGUGUGCUUGCACAGAUUUUUCACACUCUUUCAGCUCACAGAAUCAAAGGCUCGAACACCAAAUAAUCACAGCACAGCUGGGCUCGAUCACCGACAUCAUCUUUAAGCGUUUGUGUUAUACAGUCGCUCCAUCAAUAUCCUCUCCUCUUGCUUGUGUCUCUCUACCUCCUUCUCCUGAUUUAAUACCUCAUGUGUCCCACAGCUGAAUAGAGCAAUACUCAUAACAAAGAGAACAAAUCUCUAUUGUGCCUGGAUUGUCUGUUAGGCAUCACAAUGCACCUCAAUUAGAUGCUCG